UCAUUAUGAUGAUACCCCAAAGGUUUCGCAAUCAUCUGAUACAAAUUCCCAGUGAUGAUAAAACCUUGGCUGUCUGAAAUGA